CCUACGGGGGGCUGCAGUGGGGAAUAUUGGACAAUGGGGGCAACCCUGAUCCAGCCAUGCCGCGUGUGUGAAGAAGGCCCUCGGGUUGUAAAGCACUUUCAGUGAGGAAGAACGCCUGGUGGUUAAUACCCAUCAGGAAAGACAUCACUCACAGAAGAAGCACCGGCUAACUCCGUGCCAGCAGCCGCGGUAAUACGGAGGGUGCGAGCGUUAAUCGGAAUUACUGGGCGUAAAGCGCGCGUAGGUGGCUUGAUAAGCCGGUUGUGAAAGCCCCGGGCUCAACCUGGGAACGGCAUCCGGAACUGUCAAGCUAGAGUGCGGGAGAGGAAGGUAGAAUUCCCGGUGUAGCGGUGAAAUGCGUAGAGAUCGGGAGGAAUAACAGUGGCGAAGGCGGCCUUCUGGACUGACACUGACACUGAGGUGCGAAAGCGUGGGUAGCAAACAGGAUUAGAUACCCCAGUAGUC
rnacentral:rRNA from 1 species